rnacentral:rRNA from 1 species
GACGAACGCUGGCGGCGUGCUUAACACAUGCAAGUCGAACGGAAAGGCCCUGCUUUUGUGGGGUGCUCGAGUGGCGAACGGGUGAGUAACACGUGAGUAACCUGCCCUUGACUUUGGGAUAACUUCAGGAAACUGGGGCUACUACCGGAUAGGAGCUCCUGCUGCAUGGUGGGGGUUGGAAAGUUUCGGCGGUUGGGGAUGGACUCGCGGCUUAUCAGCUUGUUGGUGGGGUAGUGGCUUACCAAGGCUUUGACGGGUAGCCGGCCUGAGAGGGUGACCGGCCACAUGGGGACUGAGAGACGGACCAGACUCCUACGGGAGGCAGUAGGGGGGAAUAUUGCACAAUGGGCGGAAGCCUGAUGCAGAAACGCCGCGUGCGGGAUGACGGCCUUCGGGUUGUAAACCGCUUUAGCCUGUGACGAAGCGGGAGUGACGGUAAUGGGUAAAGAAGCACCGGCUAACUACGUG